UGGGGAAUAUUGCACAAUGGGCGAAAGCCUGAUGCAGCAACGCCGCGUGAGUGAUGAAGGUCUUCGGAUUGUAAAGCUCUGUCUUUUGGGACGAUAAUGACGGUACCAAAGGAGGAAGCCACGGCUAACUACGUGCCAGCAGCCGCGGUAAUACGUAGGUGGCGAGCGUUGUCCGGAUUUACUGGGCGUAAAGGGUGCGUAGGCGGAUGUUUAAGUGAGAUGUGAAAUACCCGGGCUUAACUUGGGUGCUGCAUUUCAAACUGGAUAUCUAGAGUGCAGGAGAGGAGAAUGGAAUUCCUAGUGUAGCGGUGAAAUGCGUAGAGAUUAGGAAGAACACCAGUGGCGAAGGCGAUUCUCUGGACUGUAACUGACGCUGAGGCACGAAAGCGUGGGUAGCAAACAGGAUUAGAUACCCUGGUAGUCCACGCCGUAAACGAUGAGUACUAGGUGUAGGAGGUAUCGACCCCUUCUGUGCCGCAGUAAACACAUUAAGUACUCCGCCUGGGGAAGUACGAUCGCAAGAUUAAAACUCUAAAGUGAAUUGACGGGGUC
rnacentral:rRNA from 1 species